rnacentral:rRNA from 1 species
CGCGUAGGCGGUCCCUUAAGUCAGAUGUGAAAGCCCGGGGCUCAACCUCGGAAGUGCAUUUGAAACUAAAGGACUUGAGUAUGGGAGAGGGAAGUGGAAUUCCUGGUGUAGAGGUGAAAUUCGUAGAUAUCAGGAGGAACACCGGUGGCGAAGACGACUUCCUGGACCAAUACUGACGCUGAGGCGCGAAGGCGUGAGGAGCAAACA